AGAGUUUGAUCCUGGCUCAGGACGAACGCUGGCGGCGCGCCUAACACAUGCAAGUCGAACGAGCGAGAGAGAGCUUGCUUUCUCGAGCGAGUGGCGAACGGGUGAGUAACGCGUGAGGAACCUGCCUCAAAGAGGGGGACAACAGUUGGAAACGACUGCUAAUACCGCAUAAGCCCACAGGUCGGCAUCGACCAGGGGAAAAGGAGCAAUCCGCUUUGAGAUGGCCUCGCGUCCGAUUAGCUAGUUGGUGAGGUAAUGGCCCACCAAGGCAACGAUCGGUAGCCGGACUGAGAGGUUGAACGGCCACAUUGGAACUGAGACACGGCCCAGACUCCUACGGGAGCA
rnacentral:rRNA from 1 species